AACGAACGCUGGCGGCGUGCUUAACACAUGCAAGUCUAAAGGGAAUGUCGGCUUCGGCUGACUAGUACCUUGGCGAACGGGUGAGUAACACGUGGGUAAUCUGCCCUCGAGCUCGGGAUAACCUUGCGAAAGCGAGGCUAAUACCGGAUAAGACCACGCCCUGUACGCGGGGAGCGGUCAAAGGAGGCCUCUUCUUGAAAGCUAUCACUUGAGGAUGAGCCCGCGGCCUAUUAGCUAGUUGGUAGGGUAACGGCCUACCAAGGCGACGAUGGGUAGCCGGCCUGAGAGGGUGUACGGCCACACUGGAACUGAGACACGGUCCAGACUCCUACGGGAGGCAGCAGUGGGGAAUUUUGCGCAAUGGGCGAAAGCCUGACGCAGCGACGCCGCGUGGGUGAUGAAGGCCUUCGGGUCGUAAAACCCUGUCGGGUGGAACGAAUCUCCUCCCCUCUAAUACAGGAGAGGAUUGACGGUACCACCGAAGGAAGCCCCGGCUAACUACGUGCCAGCCGCCGCAGUAAAAC
rnacentral:rRNA from 1 species